CCAGCAGCUGCGGUAAUUCCAGCUCCAAUAGCGUAUAUUAAUGUUGUUGCAGUUAAAAAGCUCGUAGUUGAAUUUCUGGCUGGGUUGUCAGCUGGCUUCGGUCGUUGGCUGCCCAGUCAUCCGUUAGAGAAACUAGGCCGUCCUUCGCUGGUCACCUAGCGGAUCUAACAUUUUACUUUGAAAAAAUUAGAGUGUUCAAAGCAGGCCUACGCUUGAAUACAUUAGCAUGGAAUAAUGGAAUAGAACUUUGGUGCUAUUUCGUUGGUUAAUGGGACCGAAGUAAUGAUUAAAAGGGACAGUUGGGGCCGUUUAUAUUUCGUUGUCAGAGGUGAAAUUCUUGGAUUUACGAAAGAUAAACUUCUGCGAAAGCAUUCGGCAAGGAUGUUUUCA
rnacentral:rRNA from 1 species